rnacentral:lncRNA from 1 species
UCAGUUGCAAUGAAACAAGAAACAUUUGUGAAGGCAAAUAAAUUAAAUGUAUAAAAUUAGCCACACAACUACACAAACUCUAAUUCAUAUAUUCUUUCAUAUUUUCAAAAAUUCAAAAUCCUAUUUAACUACCUUCUGUACAAGACUCUUUAAUGUCUACAAGUCUAACUAAACAAUCACUAUUUUCUAAUAAUUUAAUAUCACAAACAAAUUCAACCUAAACUCUACUACCAUAUAUAUCAUAAGUAGUUAUGUAUUUCUAGUAUAUAAUAAACAAAUAAAUAACUAAAAGAAACCAUAUAUUAUAUAUGUGACUAUACUAUCUGAACAAUGGAUUUUGCCACCAAAAAACCUGUUGAGAAAUCAAACUAUCUCUUGUUGUGUAAAGGGUUGGAUCCUGUAGGCACUUUUCGUUUUGCUGAUUUGAAUUCUCUACCGUUGCUUCUUACCGGAGAAUUAACAAAUGGAAUAUGAAAAUUUUGGUGAUGAUUUGAAGUAGAAGGACUUGAGAAUUUGAUCCUAAUAGCAUGAACUCUUGGUGUGAGGAAAAGAAGAGAAAGGAGGAGAAAGAAAUGGAAGUGCUUCAUGUUUCAAAGUAUAAUAAUAAGAAGAAAAAUAAAAACAAAUGGAUGGAAAUGUGAAAUUUGGUGCAAAGUAGUGUUAUUAUAUGUUGUGUAUUUAUAUGGACAUGGUUAGGUAUCAACAUGUGCAUACUAAAUGUGGUGAUAUAUAUGAAACACUUGUCAAAGUCUUUGUGUGAAUUUGGAGUGGUGGGUCUUAUGGUCUCAUUGGCGUUUGAUUUUGAUCAAAUGGUCAAAAUGAUAGUUGGAUGUCAAUGGUGUGAGUAGGGACUAGUAUGGGAUCAAUGGUGGUGGGGUGGCAAUAUUAAA